CUUUUAUGAGUUUUGCUAAGAUCUGUGUGGGUCAUUGGCUUGGAGGAAAAGGUUUAAUCAGUUAGUGCUUCACCUGUAUACAAAGGCAAGUUGAUGGACCAUAAACCAUUCACAGUUUCCACUUAUAAGGGAACAUAUAUUUCUGGCUCUCUACUCUGUGUGUAACUCUGGCUAUGAAACCCUAAAUGAUGGCUAGGACUUCUAGAUGAAUAAAGAUAUGGUGUGUGUAUUUCCCAGGACUAAAUUAUCUUUGAGCUGUGAUCAAGCAUGAGAAAUUUCCACCCUGAGGAAAAAUAUUUGAAGGUUGCAAAAUGAAUGCUGGAUUUGGUAGCCCAUGACUAUGAUAGUGAAAAAGACACUUGAGGGAAGCUGUGAACAAUUUGGUAUGACCAAAUAUACCAAGAAAAUGAAGAGCACUGAGCAAAAGUCACAUGGAAGGAAAACAGGAGGAAUAUCACUAUAUAUGAAUGUAAAUACUGCUUAUAAGAAAUCUGAAGAGCCAUAUAAAAGCCAUCUCUGUGGAGCUUCCGUCAAGAGCAGGUUGGAGAAAUAAUGGCCAUAUCAAGCCUAUCAGAGGGUGGCUGUAUUUUGUGCUGGAAAAACAACACUUCCAUAAGAACAGCAAAUUGGCGUCACUGAGUGAGAAAAGUUGGAAGACUGUAGGUAAGCCAGGACCAGGAUAACAAGCGUGACAGUGGGAGCUGUCCUGUCAACAGUUUUGAUAAUGUGAAACAAAAUGGCGGCAUCAAAAUAGAAACUUCUCUCCCUUCAAAGCUAUAGAUAAAAUUUGAAAGUACAUAUCUUACCUAUAGGUUUAUAGAUAAAAUAUGGACUUAUCUGCUUCUGUGAACCAUGCAUAUGAGAAAAUGUGCAACACUAAAGAAAAGUCUUUCAACAUGCUGUGGCUAGUAUGAGUAUCAUCUUUGUGGCUAUCUUUGGUAACACAGAUAAUUUCCAAUAAAUGUUGGGUUUUUAAUAAUGAAAAUUGUUUCAGUGGUCAGCUUAUACUUGAUCCUGUUUUCCUGUUUCUAAGCUGUGGUAUAAGAACUAGAUUGUAAAAAGUAGUUGUUGUGAGAGUUGUGAAGAUGAAGAAUUUAUAAAAUGACCAAGUGCAAAGGAAAUCUAUGGUUGAGAGAGAGGUGUAAUCAUAUCCUCUUAACCUGGGGAGAAAGUGAAAUGCAGACAGGCCAUAAUAAUGUUACUAGAACUGCUCAAGUCCAAAAAAUUCCACAAGAAAGACAAGACAAUUUUUAGAGCGAAAGAGAACAUUUAAAAUGUUACUGACUAUUUUAAACACACUUGUAUAAAACACAUUCGUUCAUGUUUGACUUGGCAGGUGAAAGUGAUAUUUUUGUGUCACAUGAGACUUUCUAUUCUAACCUACAUAAGUAUUUAUUAUUAUUAGUUUUAAAUAUUUAUUAAGUGCCUACUCUAUGCCAGGCACUGAUAAUUUCUUUCAACUAUUUGUGAUGAUUAGGAAAAAUAAAUUUAUGGCACCUGCGAGGGUAACUCCUCACUGAAGGGUAGCUAUUAUUUUUCCCACAUCCAAACUGUUAGGAAGGGAUAGAGUAUGAACUGGAAUCAAGCCUGCGCUCUUUUUUCUACUACGCUAUGUUUGAAUUUCUGAAAGCCAGUCAUAUUAUCUUAAUAGUCUCUUGAUGGAUGACUCAUUUCUACCUUUCAUUUUUUUUCCCCAUCCCCAAUUCGUAUUUUCCCCCUUUUCUAUAUUAUUGCAGUCCCCCCCAAAUAAUCCACUACUUAUUUUCAUAAUAAAAGCUACAUUAAUAGGUGUUAUUGUCUUUAUUACCUCAUAGCAGAUUAAAGGAAAUUAGAUACUAAUGGCAGAAACUCAUGUUUAUUAUGAGAGUAGGAAACACACACACACACACACCUGGUAAUACCCUAUUGUCUUAUUUUUAAUGUAGGCCAUUAACUGGUAAAACUUCUAUAAUAUCUAUCACUUAUGUUGUAUCAUAUAUUAUGGCAUAUAUUAAACUAUCAAAAGAUGGCACUAGUCUUGAAGUUCCCUUUAAAAAUGAUUUAGGGGGGUUGAGUGUAUGGUGAUGCAUGGUAAGUAGACUUUUGGUGAUGAUCACUUUGUAAUGAACACAGAUGUCGAAUCAUAAUGUCAGCACCGGAAACUUACAUAAUGUCAUAUACUAAGUUUACCUCAAUUAAAAAAAUAAAUAAGUUUUAAAUAUGCUAUCAGUACAAUGUGUUUAUAAAUGAAUAAAUAUAAAUCGGUCAU